GCGCCAGUGGGCCGGCGGCCUGGGCCUGGCGCUCAGUUUAAAAGCUUAACCGGGACCGCUGGCGGGCUCCGGAAACGAAACGAAAUUCGCCCCGCUGGCCGCCCUCCGGGCCCCGCCAGUCCUUCCGCGCGCCGCGCUCCCCGGAAUCGACCCUUCUCCCGCCAUUUGCCACCGGGCUCUCGCUGAGCCCGCCCUCCCAGGGCUCAGAGGCCUGCAGCCGCCGGAACCGAACGGGCGGCAUGGCGGCAGGCGUGGACUGCGGAGAAGGGGCUAGCGCCCGGCAGCACGUGUUCCUAGUCCCAGAUACUGCAUGUUUUUACAGAUUGACAGAUUGUGGCAACUCUGCGUUGGAGUAUUUAAAAGAUGCUUCAAAGAAGAUGAAAAGUGGGCUUAUGUUUGUAAAACUGGUUAACCCGUGUUCAGGGGAAGGAGCCAUUUACUUGUUCAAUGUGUGUCUACCACAGCUGUUUGAAAUAAAAGUUUUCAAGGAAAAAAACCAUUCUUGGUUUAUAAAUGAAUCAGUUCAAUCAGGAGGUCUUCUUCACUUUGCCACACCCAUGGACCCUCUGUUUCUGCUUCUCCACUACCUUAUAAAGGCUGAUAGAGAGGGAAAGUUUCAGCCCCUGGAACAAGUUGUGAUGGAUGACAUGUUUCCGAAUUGCAUCUUGUUGCUGAAACUUCCUGAACUUGAGAAGUUACUUCGACAUGUGACAGAGGAGAAAGAAAUAGACAAGAAGAAAUAUUACAAGUACAGCAAAGAGAAGACAUUAAAAUGGCUGGGAAAAAAGGUUAAUCAGACUAUGGCAGCGUUAAAAACCAAUAAUGUAAAUGUCGGUGCCCGGGUACAGUCUACUGCAUUUUUCUCUGGUGACCCGGUUUCCAGUGACAAGGAAGAGGAUUAUAUUUGUUAUGCCCAUGGUCUGAUAUCGGAUUACAUCUCUAAAGAAUUGAGUGAUGACUUAUCUAAAUAUUUAAAGCUUCCAGAACCUCCAGCUUCAGUGCCAAGCCCUCCAUCAAAGAAAGUAAAGUUAUCAGAUGAGCCCAUAGAAGCAAAAGAAGAUUACACUAAGUUUAACACUAAAGAUUUGAAGACUGUAAAGUUAUAUCUCCUAACUGGCUAUUUUGUGCAGCUGUAGUUGUAAGGCAGGGUGCCAUAGGAGCCAGGAGAGUGACACCCAACCCAAAGGGCAAAAGGAUGAGAGAAAGGCUACUUAAACUCUUGAAUUAUCACCCCUGUUGAAGCCCUUUCUCCAGGACUAAUCCAAGAUUUGGAGAUCUCCAGAGUUAGCUGCAUUAUACAGUUGAACCUCUUGGUGGAAGGCAAGGAGCUCUGAGUCUAGGAAGGCAAGUGAAAGGCCAUUUGUUAGUGUCCUUGGAAGAUGUCCACAGGCUGUGACCUCAUCUGAAUAAGGCAGAAAUGGUUAGAUUCGUGCACCUUUUGAUACACAGACUUAUAUACUCCUCCAGUUUAUAUACUUCUCAGGGUCAUUAGACUGAUGGAAAGUACCUUAUGUUUAAUAGUACUUUACAGUUUUUACAGCAAUCCUGUAUCAGUAGUUAAAUUAAUCUUUACAGCAACCUUCUAAGGUAGACUGGAAGGGGGGUGUAUCCCUGUUUCAUAGAUGGUCCAAGUGAGGACACCCAGACUGUGAGUGGCCAAGCCCGAGGCUGCCCUUCCACCCUCAAGCCCAGCCCUCUCUUUUGCCUCCCCAAGGUUCUUAUCGUUGUGUAUAUAGCUUUAUGGCCAUUUCUCCUUCAGUAGUCUGUUUUAAUUGUGAAUUUUAUCCUAAGAAAGGAAAAAUCAGAUUUAUUCUGUUUCAUCUUUUUGCUCUAUUCAUAAUGAAUUCUGCAGGUCAAUUUAUCCUCAGCAGUGCUGAGCCAGAAUGAAAGCUUCUACUUAGCUAUUGCAUUUGCAUGCCAAGUCUUUAAUUCAGCUGUCAGCUUUUUAGCAUUUACUGUACUUUUGUUAAUAAAUGUUAUUUUGAUGGUCUCACACUAAUCAAGCCUAUUUGAGACAGGGAGGGGCGGAGGGAAGCACCGAAUGUGAUUUACAGAAGAAUCAGAGCUUCUUUAUGGAUGUUAAGAGAAUUGUUACCUUACACAUGUGCUUUAAUCAGAAUGUGUAAAAUUAAAGUUAGUCAAGUUAUAAGUUCUUUCAAAAGAAAAAAGGAGCCAAGGAAUAAGCUUAGAUUCAUUUAUUCUUUUAAGAGCAUAUACUGAGCACCCGCUUUGUGCCAAAUGUUGUUCUAGGCACUAGGAAUGCAGCUGUCCACAUGGCAAAAAAAACCUGCCUUCGAGAAGUUUCUGAUCUGGGGGGCGGCUAGAUGGAGUGUCAAAUAUUGCCGGGGUCUGUGGAAGAAGCUGAGCAGGGAAGUGGACAGAGUUCUGGUGAGGCGGCUGGUCAGGGAAGGUCUAACCUCUGUCACAUCUUAUCCACUUAUGGCAUAGAAGUCUGAUUUCCAUCAACUUCUUUUUUUUUGAUACCUUAUAUAUAUAGCUCCAGAGUAAAUUGUUUUGACUUUGUGAUCAGUAAGAAACCAGCUUUCAAUAAUUACACUUGUUCCAUGGCAUUUUUCAGGAGGAUAUUAAGGACUACUACUUCCACCAGCAAGUCUAUAUUUAUUUUUUAUACAUUGGAUCUGCAUAGGAAAAGAGAAGAAAACAUGGUUUAAGAAUUAUUCACCUUAGAACUUUUUUUCAUCUGUUUCUUGUAUUAUCAAUUUUUUCCUAAAAUUAGGGUAUCUAUUCCCUGAGUUUGGGCAAGCUUAACAUUAUUUUGUAUUUCACUCCCUUUGAACACUGGAAGGAAAAUGUGCGUCUCACCCACCUCCAGGAGCCUAACAUUAGCCCUAGAAUGA